rnacentral:lncRNA from 1 species
UGAUCAAAAUUAUAUCAGAUAAAAUCUUCUGAUACUUAAAUUAGUAGAAAAUGAUGAACAGCAAAUAGAAUAUUCAAAAUGAUCAAAUAUCAGUCCAGAAUUAUCUUAUUCAAUACUAUUCAUUUACCUCCUUUUAUAGACGAAUACCAUCUGUAAUGAUUAGAUAUGUAGGUCCCACAUAUUCCGACAUUAUAUGAUCGUAAGAUGGGUAGUUAUAUCCACCACUGAUCAUGUUUUGACCAUUAUAUGCUUUCUGCGCUGGCGAUUUCAAGUAAGCCAACUAUAUAUCUAUAAUAACAAUACAUCGAUCAUAUGUCAAUAGUAGAUGU